UUUGUUUUUUUGCCAUCGCCAGUAGCAGCUUGAGAAAUCUUCAAAUAUCCAAAAAAGAUUAAAAACUGUCUAUUUGGAGCAAUUUUGUUUUUAUAUAUAUAUAUAUUUUUUUUUUCCCUUUUUUUCAGGCAACGGAACCAGAGGCCCAAACCUAAGCUCAGGAACCAGAACCUGGUGGAGGGCUGGACAGCAGGAGCCCAUUCUGAGUGUUCUAGUGAGAGACAUGAGUUCAUGCCCCCAACAACUAUCUGUCUAUACUUAUCAUGAAGCUGGUAUCGAAAACUUACUGCAAUUUGGAUGGAACCAGGAACCUGCUUCUUCAAAACAUGACUCGGUGGAAAAGAUGCUUCAUCCAUUUCCUUGAAUGCAAAGAGCUCUCGUCAGAAGUGUCAUCAAAUGAGAUGGCGACAUCACUGUCUUCAGAGCUGCUGAACACUGUGAUUUUCAUCUUUGUUUAUUUCCUCUUAAGUUUUCUAUGUUUGGUGGUACAUUCUCUUUUGCCUCUCUGUUAAUUUUUGUAAUUAAUUUGUCAACUGUGGUGUAGUUAUUAAUGUAGUCAAAUACUGUACAUUAAUGCUGUUACCUGACCCUCACCUUUGUCAGAUUGUCAAAGAACCCCCCGACCGUAGGUUUAUUGAAAGUUGUAGCCCUUCCCAAAGAUGUUGCUUCAGGCAUUUUAUGCCAUAAAAUUCUUGAAUCAA